rnacentral:rRNA from 1 species
GACGAACGCUGGCGGCGUGCCUAAUACAUGCAAGUAGGACGCAGUUGGGAAAGGGUGAGUAACGCGUAGGUAACUGCCUAUUAGAGGGGGCUAACUAUUGGAAACGAUAGCUAAUACCGCAUACUAGUAGAUGGACCUGCGUUGUAUUAGGUAGUAGGUAGGGUAAUUGCCUACCUAGGCAACGAUACAUAGCCGAGCGUGGAGGGUGAUCGGCAAACCUGGGACCUAGACACGGCCCAGACUCCUACGGGAGGCAGCAGGAGGGAAUCUUCGGCAAUGGGGCGAAACCUGACCGAGCAACGGCGCGUGAGUUAAGAAGGUUUUCGGAUCGUAAAGCUCUGUUGUUAAGGAAGCGGUACUUAACCAGAAAGGGACGGCUAACUCCGUGCCAGCAGCCGCGGUAAUUC